GUCUCUUCACAGCUUCAAGGCUCUACAGAUUAAACGGCAAAAGUGGCAGUAGAAGCUUCUAAAAUAAGCAUAAUGACCAAAAAAAUACAAAUUUUACAUUUUUUGCAAUUUUGCCACAAAUUUUAAUUUUUUCAACAUUUUCUUGAUUUCAAAUUUCAGUUGCAAUUAUGUCCAAAAUCUUGGAUAUAAUUGCAAUUGAGUUUUAAAAUCAAGAUAAAAUUGCAAAAAUUAUAAGCUUUGGGAACAAUUGCAAAAGAAUGUGAAGAAUUGGAUUUUUUUUCCUUUUUUU
rnacentral:misc_RNA from 1 species